rnacentral:rRNA from 1 species
GAUGAACGCUGGCGGCGUGCCUAAUACAUGCAAGUCGAGCGAACGGACGAGAGGCUUGCUUCUCUGAUGUUAGCGGCGGACGGGUGAGUAACACGUGGAUAACCUACCUAUAAGACUGGGAUAACUUCGGGAAACCGGAGCUAAUACCGGAUGAUAUUUUGAACCGCAUGGUUCAAAAGUGAAAGACGGUCUUGCUGUCACUUAUAGAUGGAUCCGUGCUGCAUUAGCUAGUUGGUAAGGUAACGGCUUACCAAGGCAACGAUGCAUAGCCGACCUGAGAGGGUGAUCGGCCACACUGGAACUGAGACACGGUCCAGACUCCUACGGGAGGCAGCAGUAGGGAAUCUUCCGCAAUGGGCGAAAGCCUGACGGAGCAACGCCGCGUGAGUGAUGAAGGUCUUCGGAUCGUAAAACUCUGUUAUUAGGGAAGAACAUAUGUGUAAGUAACUGUGCACAGCUUGACGGUACCUAAUCAGAAAGCCACGGCUAACUACGUG